GGAGCCAUGGCUCAGUGUCAGAGCAUCCGUUUGGCAUACAGAAGGCCCCAGGUUCAAUCUCCAGCAUCUCCA
rnacentral:tRNA from 1 species